UACGUAGGUGGCGAGCGUUGUCCGGAUUUACUGGGCGUAAAGAGCGCGCAGGCGGCUGGUCAAGUCCGAUGUGAAAGCUCCCGGCUUAACUGGGAAAUUGCAUCGGAAACUGAUCGGCUGGAAGGUGGGAGAGGGUAGCGGAAUUCCCGGUGUAGUGGUGAAAUGCGUAGAUAUCAGGAGGAACACCAAUGGCGAAGGCAGCUCGCUGGGACGGUACUGACGCUGAGACGCGAAAGCGUGGGGAGCAAACAGG
rnacentral:rRNA from 1 species